CCCUUUCAGGCGUGUUUAAAUGACUACAGUAGGUGCAAGUGGUACUCACACUUGUUGAUACGUGAUAAUUUUCAUUCCGAUUGCGUAAAGCCAUACAAAAUAGUCAUAUUCAUAUACAUACAUAUGUAUUUAUUGUUGUAGUGAGCUGUUAGGUAUGAGUAGUAUAACAAUCACAAUUGCUUAAUUCAAUUUGUAUACCCACGCAAAAAACGUUCCUGCGAAAAUUUGAGAACCAGGUGGUCUUGUGAAUUGGAUGAUUUAGCCAUUUCCGCCUGUCUGCCCCUCUGUAUAUAAGCACUAGUUUGCUCAGUUUUUGAGAUAUCGAUCUAAAAUUUUGCCCCCUCUUCCCCCCAGAAGCUGCUCCUUUUCGGAACCGUGGAUAUGGAAUCACUUUAGCAGAUAGCUGACAUUCAAGCAGACGGAUUAAAAUCAGUAUACGUUUUUUUAUAAAAGAUAUUUUUUCAUAUUAAGGGUGUAAAUUGUUGGACAAGAGUGCUAUAACUAAUGCUUCUUUGAAGGGUACUAUUACCUCGGUGGAGCCGAGUUAAUGUUGAAAAACAAUCAUUGCGGAAUAUUUUUCGAAAUAGAAGAUGACAAAUUAAAAAUAUAAUCCCUCAUAAAAGAUAAGAAUUGUAAAAUGUUAUGGCAAAAUAAUGAAGAUGUUAGGAAUGGGAAAGAUUGCAAAGCUUCGACGAAUGAAGCCUCGAAUCUCUCAAUAUUUUCUUGAAGCAGCUUCCCAAAAUGAAUUCGACAGGUAGACCUCAAUGUAACUAGCACAAUAUCUAAAACUAUGCAAUUGAAAGUUGAUCUGAGCCUCGGAGUGUAGACGCGAGAAACAAUAAUUUCGACAAAAACCCAUGGAGGAAAUGCAUUUACCAUACAUUUCCGAACCAUUUACAUUAAUAGUGUCAUAACUCAAAAAGUAUGAUUUUUAAGUUGAGCAUGUAGAAAUGUGCGCAAUUUAAUAAACAGUCGAGAUAAGAACGCGAAUUUAUUUCAAUUGUUUUUUCGUUUGAUUUCGUAAUCACAACAAUGACCCACCUUAG